rnacentral:rRNA from 1 species
UACGUAGGUGGCAAGCGUUGUCCGGAAUUAUUGGGCGUAAAGAGCUCGUAGGUGGCGUGUCGCGUCUGCCGUGAAAGCCCAUGGCUUAACUGCGGGUCUGCGGUGGAUACGGGCAGGCUGGAGGCUGGUAGGGGCAAGCGGAAUUCCUGGUGUAGCGGUGAAAUGCGCAGAUAUCAGGAGGAACACCGGUGGCGAAGGCGGCUUGCUGGGCCAGUUCUGACGCUGAGGAGCGAAAGCGUGGGGAGCGAACAGG